CAAUUUUUUCACACCAGACCCCUCUCCAAGGAUACCCAAAUAAAUUAACCUGAAAGAGAGCCUCUUAGCAUCUAUCCUAAAAAGAAACAAACAAGACAAGAAAGCGAAAAGCAUGGACUCCAUCAACUCCUUCAAGGGCUACGGUAAGGUAGAUGAGGUCGAACAGCAGGCCUUCCGACGAAAGACCCGUAAGCGUCUUAUCAUUGUCAUUGUCUCCUCCGUCGUUCUUGUCGCUGUCAUCAUCGGUGCUGUUGUCGGAACUGUAUUACACAAAAGAAACAGUGGCUCCUCCCCUUCCUCCGCCGUCCCUACUGAGCUCACUCCGGCCGCUUCACUCAAAGCUGUUUGCAGUGUCACUCAGUACCCUCCUUCUUGCGUCUCUAGCAUAUCUUCCCUUGAUUCAGCUAACACCAGUGAUCCAGAAGUUCUCUUUAAGCUUUCUUUACAUGUCGCC
rnacentral:misc_RNA from 1 species